UGGUGAUGGUACUGGUUUGGAAUGAGGCGAGAAAAAAGGGGGAGAAGAUGGCAGAUUAAUCGGGCCGACGGCAUAGAAAAGAAGAAGGAGGAGGAGAUAAUCAACUAUGUACACACAGGGAGCAAUAGAAGAGGGAAAGAGUCAUGGAUUAAAAAAUAGGAAGAUUAAAAGAGAAAAAA
ensembl:ncRNA F53B7.12 ncRNA